rnacentral:rRNA from 1 species
GGAAUGCGUAGAUAUAUGGAAGAACACCAGUGGCGAAGGCGGCUCUCUGGUCUGUAACUGACGCUGAGGCUCGAAAGCAUGGGUAGCGAACAGGAUUAGAUACCCUGGUAGUCCAUGCCGUAAACGAUGAGUGCUAAGUGUUGGGAGGUUUCCGCCUCUCAGUGCUGCAGCUAACGCAUUAAGCACUCCGCCUGGGGAGUACGACCGCAAGGUUGAAACUCAAAGGAAUUGACGGGGGCCCGCACAAGCGGUGGAGCAUGUGGUUUAAUUCGAAGCAACGCGAAGAACCUUACCAGGUCUUGACAUCCUUUGACCACCUAAGAGAUUAGGUUUUCCCUUCGGGGACAAAGAGACAGGUGGUGCAUGGCUGUCGUCAGCUCGUGUCGUGAGAUGUUGGGUUAAGUCCCGCAACGAGCGCAACCCUUGUUAAUAGUUGCCAGCAUUAAGUUGGGCACUCUAUUAAGACUGCCGGUGACAAACCGGAGGAAGGUGGGGAUGACGUCAAGUCAUCAUGCCCCUUAUGACCUGGGCUACACACGUGCUACAAUGGGCAGUACAACGAGAAGCGAACCUGUGAAGGCAAGCGGAUCUCUUAAAGCUGUUCUCAGUUCGGACUGUAGGCUGCAACUCGCCUACACGAAGCUGGAAUCGCUAGUAAUCGCGGAUCAGCACGCCGCGGUGAAUACGUUCCCGGGCCUUGUACACACCGCCCGUCACACCAUGAGAGUUUGUAACACCCAAAGUCGGUGAGGUAACCUUUGGAGCCAGCCGCCUAAGGUGGGACAGAUGAUUAGGGUGAAGUCGUAACAAGGUAGCCGUAGGAGAACCUGCGGCUG